GGGGGGAUGGCACAGUUGGAAGGAGCUAUAUAUGGCAAGUCUUCUGUGUAGCUAUAGAGGUCGUCGGUUCUAACCCGGCUCCCCUCA